GGGUGAGUGAGGAUUUGAGUUUAGUAGGCUAAAUAUCUUGGAUUCAAUAUUUAUUUUAACUGCAUUGAGUUGUCGAGGGAUGUGGUUUACAGUUUUUUGAAAGUAUGUUUUUUUAUUGAUUUUUUAUUUAACGUUUCACUUUAAAUAAAAUAUUUUAUUAGAUUAAGAAUUUGAAAUGAAUUUAUUUUUUCCUUAAAAUAUUUU
rnacentral:lncRNA from 1 species